CCCCCUAAACCAUAUAUAUUCUGGUUUGUCAUGCCAAGAUGAUUUGAAUGAUAUACAAGGUUAGUCCCCAGGCAUCACUAAUGCAUAUAACUUUACUGGACCAAACCAAUUUUCACUGGACAUUGCCCAAUGUCAGGCGACCCUUGGAAUUACGAAUUAUGGGAGCUUCGUUUGGGAGACUUCGUAACAGCAUCCUGUUACAAUCAUUUCUUGUUUCCCUUGAUGAUGUAUUUUAUGUACAGAUUUAGUUGUAUUUACAAUUUUUAAACAACAUUCCCACUUCCUUAUAUAUGAUAUUGCUUAGUAGCAUUCCCAAGAUUCCAAUGUUUAGAUAUUGCACAUUCCAUAGGUAUCAAAAUUUAGAGUUCAAUGAACAUUUAACCAAUUAAUAAAAUGAACUGUAUGUUGGAAAAUGAAAUAUUCUAAAGAAAUUAAAUUCCCAUUUUAGUUUACAGUAAGCUUUCUUUUAUUAAAAAAAUUCUGAUUUGAAAUGUUGAAAAAAUCUUUUGUUUGAUAUAUACAUGUAGAUUGUAAGAAAGAGGUGAGAAUUCUGAUAGAUUUUUUUAAUGUAAAAUAUAGUUUUUUUUCAGUUUUGAUGGUAUUUGUUGACAUAAUGUUGAUUCACAAUUUUUAUCUUCCAGAUUUAUUUUUUAAUUUCAUUGAUUGUUUGUUUAUGCAUAUGUUGUAUUUGUCAUUUUGUCCAUAAUAAUGGGAUCCUUUUAUUGGAUAGAAUUAAAUAAACAAUGUUUUUAAUGUACAGAUCAUGUUGUAACACUUUUUAUUGAAAUAUAAAUGGUAAUCUGUGUGAAAUUGUCAGACACAGCAAAAUAAACUGUUAGCUGUUAUGUUAUAAAAAUAAGGCAGGAGGGAAAAAAAAUUUGUAUGAUGAAUCUGUUGUAAAAAUAUGUUGUGUUAUAAAAAUAAGGCAGGAGUGGAAAACUUUUUGUAUGAUGAAUCUGUUGUAAAAAUAUAUAUAAUUUUAGUAUCUUUGAUUUAAUAGCUUAAGUUUUGUAUUGUGUUUUUUGUGUUUAAUGCAAUUUUUGUACAUUCAUACAAUUGAAUGGCUAAGUUUGUUUAUGUGAAACAGUUGGAAAUUUCAUCUAGAUCUUUUACAUAACUGUAGAUUGAGUAUACAUUAUUAAACAGGAAAGAUUUGUUUUCCAUUCAGUUAAAAACUUGUCUCAUUUCCAGAUCUUAUUACACAACUAUAUCAUGAAUUGGUUUGUCCUUGCAGCAUCUCAGUUUCUCAACUUAGAGAUGUUUGAACUCUGUCAUAGAUCCCAGAUAACUAAUAUUUUCCUUACUUUUGUAUUUGCUGCAGGAUGUUAUUUUUUGGAAUUAAAGUUGAUGAGUUUCCCUCAAAUCUUUAUGUUUUAAUACCUGAAAUUAUUGUAUUUUUAAAACAGACUUCAUUAUCUGUUCCUGUUGUCAUUUAAUUUGUUUAAAUGUAUAUAUGAUUUUUUUGCUUUGAUUUAUAGAAUUUUACUUUUUACAAAUGACAAAAAUGGCUCUAUUCUGUUGUAUGUAAUUUUAUACUAAGAAAGAAAAUUGCGAAGAAUAUUUAAUACAAAUAUUCAUAAGUACUCCAAGCAGCUGCAUUUACUUUUGGCAUGUUUGUGCCAAUUUUUGAGUUUAGUGUUAGUGUUUUGGUUAGGUUUAUUAUUGGUUGUACAUUUAAGUUUAUUUGAGAAGAUUAGGACAAUAUUAAUUUUAUUUUAAGGUUAAAUUAGAAAUAAUAUGUUCAGAUAAUUAAUGCUUGUUGGAUUGUGGUUUUUAGUAAAGGUGCAUGCAUUAAAUGUUCAGCAAUCAGUUACUGUGUGAUGUGGCUUGAAUUAAAUGUUCAGCAAUCAGUUACUGUGUGAUGUGGCAUGAAUUAAAUGUUCAGUUAUCAGUUACUGUGUGAUGUGGCAUGAAUUCAAUAAAUAUUUGCAAUUUUAGUGAUAUUGGUUGUAAAUUUACAGUCGUGCAAAUGCACAGUUGUAUAUUCAUACCAGGAAUGUGUUUAUGAAGAUUGUUUAUACUUAAAUUUGCCACUUUUUUUUUUACAUAGAUCAGAAUCCUAUAAUCUUAGGGUACUUAAACUUUAUUGAUAUUUUUUGUUUACAUGUAUGGAAUGUAUGACAAUUUUAGAGACAGUUAUUUAAUAAAAACUGGAGUAUAUGUCCUCCAUCCUGAAUUCUUAAUCUAAAGAAUUUAUGGCUUAAUUUUUUUUUAUUUGACUUGAGUGAAGGGAAUUGGUUAGCCUACAUAUGUCAACUUUCAGUCAAAAUCAGUCUAAUAUUACUUACUUAUCCUAUUAUUGAAAUUUUCUCACCAUCCCUAAUUAUCUCUCUUCCACUUCUCACUUAAAUUUUUGUAAAUUUCCCUCUUCGAAUCUCAUUUGUACCUUUCAGCUGAUUUUUUAUUCAUAUGUAUGAAUUGAUUAAUUUUGGAUAAUUACCCCUUUGAAUCUCCCAUUUUGCCCUCCGUUAACAUUUACCUUAAGAAUCUCCUUUCUAUAUAAUUAUCAAUUGAAUUCUGUUAUUUUCAUUUAUAUUUUCAACCUCUUAGAACAUAAACAGCUAAUAGAAAAGAUUCUUUAAAUGCAAGAAUUCAUAUCAGUUAAAAUAUGAAGUAGCAAUAAUGCAUCUGUAUUUUGUAAUGAAGAGAAGAUGACUUAGAAUAUUAUGAAGAUGGUGUGACAGAAGUGUGAAGCGAAGGGUAACUUGGACUUCCUCCCUUAAGUUCUAUUUUACAAGGCUAGUCAUUAUACCACUUAGUAGUCUAUAAACACAAAUGUUGUUAUUCAAACUUAUUUGGAAUAUCCUGUAUCAGUAAAAUGGGAUACAAACUUGUUUUCAUUUAAUGUUUUAUAGAAUUUAUGCUUUUUGUGCUUCAAAAAUGUGUAUAGAUUUGAUCUGCAAAUAAAGUUUAACAUUUUA